GACAAAAGCCGUGACGCUAAAAUUGUGUCACAUAUAUUCAACUGUGACUAAAUUCCAUGUUUCAAUGACGACUACCCCUCUUCACAAAAGGCAUGUUUUCUUGUAGUGGUCGUUACAGGGAAUGAUGGAUACCAAGUUCAAAAGAAGCAUUGUAUUUCAUCCACAGACAGAUGGGCAAACGAAGGUCGUAAACCGAACUAUGGUACACUUGUUGAGGGGUUACAAUUCCAAGCAUCCAAAAACUUGGGAUGAAAGUCUCCCUUACUUACAGUUUCCUUUUAACCGAGGAAUUCAUGGCUCUACACUCAAAUCUCCAUUAGAGGUUUGUUUGAGUUACUUACCCCAGAGUUCUUUUGAUUUAUUAUUUACUAUGAGUGACCAACCAAUAAGUGGGAAAGAAGAAGAACAUAUUCGAGCACAUAAAUUUCUCAGACGAGUCAGAAAUAUUCAUGCUGAAGUGGAGGCACAAUUGAAACGUUCUUAGCAAUGAUAUAAAGUUCACCAUGAUAAGCAUCGUGUGCCAUGUAACUUCAAAGAAGGUGACCUAGUAUGGUUACACCUUGGAAAGGGGAGGCUAACCGAUGUAGGCAAGAAAGUAAAGCCUAUUCAUUAUGGACCGUUCAAGAUCAUCAAAUAAAUUGGUGAUAAUGCCUUUCAACUUGAAUUACCACCAUACAUGCAUAUGUACUCGGUCAUCAAGGCCGAGAAUCCUAAACUUUUUGAGCCAUCUCUACUUGAUGAUCCAGACGAAGACAGACCUUCCAUCAGUUGAUGACUUAAAGAUUGAACAAGAAGAUCCUUUGCAGGAGGAUUGUAUCUUAGAACAAAAGGUUCAUGAGACUCGACAUGGAAAGUCUGAGUAUUUUCAUAUUUGUAGAAAAGGUCAACUUCCUAGCAAGUCGAAGUGGUAUAUUCAAGACAAGGCAAUAACAAAGUUUCCUCAUCUCACAAUUUAACUUCACC
rnacentral:lncRNA from 1 species